AUUGAACGCUGGCGGCAGGCCUAACACAUGCAAGUCGAGCGGAGCGGCGGACGGGUGAGUAAUGCCUAGGAAUCUGCCUGGUAGUGGGGGAUAACGUCCGGCAACGGGCGCUAAUACCGCAUACUAUCAGAUGAGCCUAGUUGGGAUUAGCUAGUGUGUGGGGUAAAUGCCUACAAAGGCGACGAUCCGUAACUGGUCUGAGAGGAUGAUCAGUCACACUGGAACUGAGACACGGUCCAGACUCCUACGGGAGGCAGCAGUGGGGAAUAUUGCACAAUGGGCGCAAGCCUGAUGAAGCCAUGCCGCGUGUGUGAAGAAGGCCUUCGGGUUGUAAAGCACUUUCAGCGGGGAGGCGUUACCCGCAGAAGAAGCACCGGCUAACUCCGUGCCAGCAGCCGCGGUAAUAC
rnacentral:rRNA from 1 species